UACAGAGGGUGCGAGCGUUGUCCGGAAUCACUGGGCGUAAAGGGCGCGUAGGCGGUCUCUUAAGCGUGUGGUGAAAGCCCGGGGCUCAACUCCGGGUCGGCCGUGCGAACUGGGGGACUGGAGCUUGUCAGAGGCAGGCGGAAUUCCGGGUGUAGCGGUGGAAUGCGUAGAGAUCCGGAAGAACACCGGUGGCGAAGGCGGCCUGCUGGGACAGUGCUGACGCUGAGGCGCGACUGCGUGGGGAGCAAACAGG
rnacentral:rRNA from 1 species